rnacentral:rRNA from 1 species
GACGAACGCUGGCGGCGUGCCUAAUACUUGCAAGUCGAGCGGAGCUUAUCCUUCGGGGUAAGCUUAGCGGCGGACGGGUGAGUAACACGUAGGCAACCUACCCUGUAGACUGGGAUAACUACCGGAAACGGUAGCUAAUACCGGAUAAUUCCUUUCUUCUCCUGAAGAAAGGAUGAAAGGCGGAGCAAUCUGCUACUAGAGGAUGGGCCUGCGGCGCAUUAGCUAGUUGGUGGGGUAACGGCCCACCAAGGCGACGAUGCGUAGCCGACCUGAGAGGGUGAACGGCCACACUGGGACUGAGACACGGCCCAGACUCCUACGGGAGGCAGCAGUAGGGAAUCUUCCGCAAUGGGCGAAAGCCUGACGGAGCAACGCCGCGUGAGUGAUGAAGGUUUUCGGAUCGUAAAGCUCUGUUGCCAGGGAAGAGCGUCCGGUAGAGUAACUGCUACCGGAGUGACGGUACCUGAGAAGAAAGCCCCGGCUAACUACGUGCCAGCCGCCGCGGUAA